GACGUAGGGCGCGAGCGUGUCCGGAUUUAUUGGGCGUAAAGAGCUCGUAGGCGGCUUGUCGCGUCGUCCGUGAAAACUUGGGGCUCAACCCCAAGCUUGCGGUCGAUACGGGCAGGCUAGAGUUCGGUAGGGGAGACUGGAAUCCUGGUGUAGCGGUGAAAUGCGUAGAUAUCGAGAGGAACACCUGCGGCGAAGGCGGGUGCUGGGCUGACACUGACGCUGAUGCGCGAAAGCUAGGGGAGCGAACGGG
rnacentral:rRNA from 1 species